rnacentral:lncRNA from 1 species
AGAACAAUGCGGGAGUUGCAGAGAGAGGUGUCCUGUGUUUGUUCCCAGUCUUCCUUCACUCACCUGCACCUGCUCCUGCCCUGCUUCGGCCAACAUGUUCUAUGCAGCUGCUCACUGAUGUCACUUAGAGGAAGGCAGGGGCACAAGAUGGGAGGACCCAGAGCUCCGGGUUCUUAAUGAAUUUUUGCCACCUUCAAUGAGAAAGACUGAAACAAAAAACUCAGAAGAAAGAAAGAGACUGAGAUAGCAAAUAUGACAAACUGUUAAAAAUUCAUGAAUCUGUUAUGGAAUACUAUGCAGCCAUAAAAAAGGAUGAGUUCCUGUCCUUUGCAAGGACGUGUAUGAAGCUGGAAACCAUCAUUCUGAGCAAACUAAAACAGGAACAGAAAACCAAACACCACAUGUUCUCACUCAUAAGUGGGAGUUGAACAAUGAGAACACAUGGACACGGCGGGGUGGUGGGAACAUCACACACCGGGGCCUGUCAGAGGGGAGGGGGCUAGGGGAGAGAUAGCAUUAGGAGAAAUACCUAAUGUAGAUGAUGGGUUGAUGGGUGCAGCAAACCACCAUGGCAUGUGUAUACCUAUGUAACAAACCUGCAUGUUCUGCACAUGUAUCCCAGAACUUAA